rnacentral:sRNA from 1 species
GAUACCAGGGUCAAAAGGUCAUGCGUUUCAUGCUUGCAUGAAAAAGCAUGACUUAUUGACCCGCAAAACACCGAAAAGUAGCCAUUUUUCAUAGAAAAAUGAGCGGAUUUGAGGUGUUUUAGGAUUGCGAGAGCAUGAAAUGCGAAGCAAUCCGU